rnacentral:rRNA from 1 species
GCCAGCAGCCAUAUCACCCUGCAACUCACAUCUUGCGGCCCACUGAAGCUCAGCAGGUGUGAGCCUGGCCAGUACCUGGGUGGGAGACCUCCUGGGAAAAACUAAGGUUGCUGGUG